ACCGGGUGCUGUGGUGCGUGCCUGUAAUUCCAACAACUUGGCUGAGGCAGGAGGAUCACAAGUUCAAGGCCAGCCUCAGCAACAUAGUGAGACCCUGUCUCAA
rnacentral:sRNA from 1 species